GUCUUUCGAUCUGGAGCCACAUCCUUCACUACCCUCUUGCCCAGGCGGAUACGCACAACUCACAGUAGGACAAUUAAUCGUCGGACGAAAGGAGGGCCGCAUUAGUCAGUUUCCAAGCGUGAUUGUUAUGCGCUUGUGACACCGACUUGCGCCACAUAGCGUCGAAUUUCCUUUACGGUUAACUAACGGAUAGGUUUGCAGCCCUGCGCGAGUGGCGACAGCGGUCGACUUUUCGACUCAGCCAUUAGAAACGGGGCGUUGCCAAGCGACCGAAUUAUCGAGCCCGCUUCGCCCAGCAACAUGAAGGUAUGGUCGACGCCCUGCAACAAAUAGUACGUCGCGUCGGGCACCGCCGGAUUAGCCGAAUGAGUGAGUGUUACUGCGCGAUAUUGCCAGCGCAUCUUGCGCCCCUCGCACGCCCAAUCUUGCAGCUCCUGCGCGGAGAGAGAACGAUCGCUAUCGUACUGAUAUGGCACUCGACCCGUCACUGCCAGAUAAAUCUUUGCGAAGUCUUACCGACCUAGCCGGCGUGGUUCGUCCAAAAAUGUUUUAACGAACAGUGUGUACCCGAUGAGCACGCCCUCCGUUGGCACGACGGCAAGCAGCAUCACGAGUGUGAUGCGUUGCAUGGGGCGGUGUGGACGAACAACAGGAUCGCGUUCGGCAAGGAAGGGGCCUCGCGGCCCAAGCACUUUCCAUCGCCACCACGCGUCGCAUUCGAAUCGCGCUUGCGGCGCGACACCGCGCGUCGCAGCAUGGGCGGCGGCAGCGAAGCGGCGCCGCAAUUCGAUUUGAUCAAUUCCACUACGAAGCACACGUCUGGUUCGUCGAUACCACGGCUUGAGGCGCACGAACGGCCAUCGUGCCCUCAACCAUGCCGGUACCGUUGCCCAGAGCCACACAAUCAAGACCGGCGCCAAGAAGAAUAGUAGCGGCAUCAUCCAGACGCGCGAGACGGUUGCACCCGCCAACAUUAGGUUCAUCGCGGAAUCCCGGGGAACGCGGCGCGGAUCUUGAGGAAGAAGUAUUGC
rnacentral:rRNA from 1 species